rnacentral:rRNA from 1 species
UACGUAGGGGGCAAGCGUUGUCCGGAAUCAUUGGGCGUAAAGAGCGUGUAGGCGGUCCGGUCAGUCGGUUGUGAAAGUCAAGGGCUCAACCCUUGAAUGCCGGCCGAUACUGCCGGGCUAGAGUCCGGAAGAGGUGAGUGGAAUUCCUGGUGUAGCGGUGAAAUGCGCAGAUAUCAGGAGGAACGCCGGUGGCGAAGGCGGGUCUCUGGGCCGAUACUGACGCUGAGGAGCGAAAGCGUGGGGAGCAAACAGG